rnacentral:rRNA from 1 species
GAUGAACGCUGGCGGCGUGCCUAAUACAUGCAAGUCGAGCGAACAGACGAGGAGCUUGCUCCUCUGACGUUAGCGGCGGACGUGUGAGUAACACGUGGAUAACCUCCCUAUAAGACUGGGAUCACUUCGGGACACCGGAGCUAAUACCGGAUAAUAUAUUGAACCGCAUGGUUCAAUAGUGAAAGACGGUUUUGCUGUCACUUAUAGAUGGAUCCGCGCCGCAUUAGCUAGUUGGUAAGGUAACGGCUUACCAAGGCGACGAUGCGUAGCCGACCUGAGAGGGUGAUAGCCCACAUGGGAGCGGAGCCGGGGUCAAGGCGACUAAGGUAGGCAGCAGAAGGGAAUCUUCGGCAAUGGUCGAAAGCAUGACGGAGCAACGGCGAGUGAGUGAUGAAGAUGUUCGGAUCGGAAAACUCUGUUAUUAGGGAAGAACAAAUGUGUAAGUAAAUAUGCACGUCUUGACGGUACCGAGUCAGAAAGCCACGGCUAACUACGUG